rnacentral:rRNA from 1 species
AACGAACGCUGGCGGCAGGCUUAACACAUGCAAGUCGAGCGGAGAUGAGGUGCUUGCACCUUAUCUUAGCGGCGGACGGGUGAGUAAUGCUUAGGAAUCUGCCUAUUAGUGGGGGACAACAUUCCGAAAGGAAUGCUAAUACCGCAUACGUCCUACGGGAGAAAGCAGGGGAUCUUCGGACCUUGCGCUAAUAGAUGAGCCUAAGUCGGAUUAGCUAGUCGGUGGGGUAAAGGCCUACCAAGGCGACGAUCUGUAGCGGGUCUGAGAGGAUGAUCCGCCACGCUGGGACUGGGACACGGCCCAGACUCCUCCGGGAGGCAGCAGUGGGGAAGAUUGGACAAUGGGGGGAACCCUGAUCCAGCCAUGCCGCGUGUGUGAAGAAGGCCUUAUGGUUGUAAAGCACUUUAAGCGAGGAGGAGGCUACUGAGACUAAUACUCUUGGAUAGUGGACGUUACUCGCAGAAUAAGCACCGGCUAACUCUGUGCCAGCAGCCGCCGUAACAC